rnacentral:rRNA from 1 species
UACGAAGGGGGCUAGCGUUGCUCGGAAUCACUGGGCGUAAAGCGCACGUAGGCGGGUUGUUAAGUCGGGGGUGAAAUCCUGGAGCUCAACUCCAGAACUGCCUUCGAAACUGACGAUCUUGAGUUCGGGAGAGGUGAGUGGAACUGCGAGUGUAGAGGUGAAAUUCGUAGAUAUUCGCAAGAACACCAGUGGCGAAAGGCGGCUCACUGGCCCGAUACUGACGCUGAGGUGCGAAAGCGUGGGGAGCAAACAGGG